rnacentral:rRNA from 1 species
CAGUCGCCGCGGUAAUACAGAGGGUGCGAGCGUUAAUCGGAUUUACUGGGCGUAAAGCGUGCGUAGGCGGCUUCUUAAGUCGGAUGUGAAAUCCCUGAGCUUAACUUAGGAAUUGCAUUUGAUACUGGGAAGCUAGAGUAUGGGAGAGGAUGGUAGAAUUCCAGGUGUAGCGGUGAAAUGCGUAGAGAUCUGGAGGAAUACCGAUGGCGAAGGCAGCCAUCUGGCCUAAUACUGACGCUGAGGUACGAAAGCAUGGGGAGCAAACAGGAUUAGAUACCCCAGUAGUCCCUGUCUCUUAUAC